AGAAGUCUGAUUCCUCAUUGCUGACAGGAAGACAGCCAUGGAUUGGGAAAAGAUUAGAGUGAAUCCUGUGAUGUUGGAUUGGGAUUGAAGAUACCGGAAAUAAACUCCUGGAUCCAUAUUUCACACCUUAAGAAAGCACUCCAACCCCCAAGGGCAUCAACUUCAACAGGAAAACUGACCCUUCAACUUACCAAAUCUUUGAAGUGACUAGUUGUAUAGUACAACAAGCAGAAAAUUUGCUAUGGAGGUUGUGUUAACUGUUGACAUUUAUGUGAGAUUUUUGCUGCAUAUUUGUUAGAAAAGGCUCAACAAAAUUAUAAUAAACAAUGAUUGUGUUAUUAAUUUUUUAACUGUUAUAUCAGUUAUAAAUGCUUGGAAUGAAAAUGCCUUAAGGAAAUUAGUCAAUAAUGUCACAUAUGUUACUUUUUCUAAUUGGAUCUGCCAUGAUUGCUAUAAAACUUUGUCCUUCCACUAUGACUCAUGAGUAACUUCAAUAACAAACUGCUUGGGAAUUCCCAAUGCCACAGUAGAACUAGUAUAUGCAAACAUUAUUUAUUAUCAGGGUGCACAUAAAGGGAAACUAGGACAAAAACCUACCCUGUUUCAAUUUGAUCUUGUUCUCUUAAGCAUGGAAAAAGAAUACUUGUUGCUAUAACUCAACAACUAAAACUCUUGUUUCUCAGGAGAAAAUGCAAAAAGAAAACCAGUUUAUUUGUCAUUUUUGGUUUUGCAAAUGCUAAUCAAAGUUGGUCUUUAUGCAAUGCAAUUUUUCCCACUCUUAAAACUGACUGAUAACAGCAAAUCAGACUGAACCUAAAAAUGACUCCUUCAAAAGUACUAAAAGCCUGUGUGCUUAUGUUUAUAUAUUUGUCUGUGAAUGGGGACCAAAUCCUUUUAUAUGCUGGGGAAGAAAAUUCCUUGACUCUUGGUCAUUAGCAAGUCAGUGUACUUGGGUGCUCAUGUCACUAAAAUACCUCAUUUAUCCCUCCAAUAACACCUUCUUCUGGCCAGAAGGAUUAUAUUUAUCCUGUUUCAAAAGGGAAAAUCCUGGAGCACCUGAGGCAUAAAUAUGUCAUCUUCUGCCCAAUUAGUGUUUUUUUGUUUGUUUGUUUGCUUUGCCUGGAGUAGAACAUGGAGAAAUAUGAUCAUGAUUACUGAUUUCUCUCAAAUCCUAGGCAACCUAGCUGAUACGGUUUAUCUCUGUGUCCCCACCCAAAUCUCAUCUCAAAUUGUAAUCCCCACAUGUUGAGGGAGGGGAGUGAUUGGAUUAUGGGGGCUGUUUCCCUCAUGCUGUUCUUGUGAUAGUGAGUGAAUUCUCAUAAGAUCUGAUGGUUUUAUAAAUGGUAUUUUUUCCUGUGUGCUCGCUUCUGUCUCCUGCCACCAUGUGAAGAAGGUCCUUCCUUCCCCUUCACCUUCCACCAUGAUUGUAAGUUUCCUGAGGCUUCUCCAGAUGUGUGGAACUGUGAGUCAAUUAAACCUUCUUCCUUUAUAAAUUACACAGUCUUUGGAAGUUCUUUAUAGCAGUGUGAAAAUGUACUAAUACACUAACCUAUUCAACUGUCAAAGUUAUUGCCACUCAGUAAUAAUCUUUAAAUUCAUUAGCAGCAACUGUAUUAAAUAACAGAAUUACUCUAGAUUAUCUGUUGGCAGUACAGGGAAAUGUUUGUGGGAUAGUUAACAACUUACGUUAUACUUGGGAAAAUGCCUCUGAAGUAGUUGAACUGGAGCUCAAUAAAAUUAGUUUAGGCAGGUCGGCUAAGACAAGUGCCAUCUAUUGGUAAGCCAUCCUUUGACUUAUUUAGUUGUUACCAGAAAGGAUACAUUCCUUGACUAGAUCCCUGUUACAACUUAGUAUCAUUAUAACAUUAUUGUUUCUUUUUUAAAACUGUUCACUAAGUUCUUGGAAAACAUUAUUGUUUCUGAUAAUUUUGUUGAUCUGUAAGUAUUUGUCUCAAUGCUUAGAACAAGCACUAAUGCUGCCCACUGAUUUGAUGUUGGCCCAGAUUCCUGUAGCCUGUUCUGAACAUCCAGAAGGAACUUACAGCACCUAGAAUUAUAAGCUUGACUGAGUCUAUGAAAUAGCUUGUAAAUUCACUUCCCUGUGAGCCAGGGACCCAGAACAGAUAGUCUUACUUCACCCUGGCUUUUGCAGGACAAGAUGGAGCUCAUACAGCAUUGAUUUCGUCAGUGUCUAGGGACCUGUGGUGAUCACAGAUAUUCUCUCCUGGGAGAAAUAUCUUGAUCAAAUGAGGGAAAUGUGAGCUUAUCAAUGUUCCACACUUGCCAUCAGUAAUUUCAUCUUUGUCUACUGACUUCACAUUAAUACUGCCGAUGAACUUUGAGAUCUACAAAGUAACACUUCCUUCACAAAUAUUUGUACUCUCAACAGUACACACUAUAAAGAAACCGGUCACUAUCUUUAAGAACUUUAUAUAUAUAGCUUUUCUGACAAACUGAUGUAAUUUAUUCACGUUUAAUCAACUAAUGAAAUAAUCUGACAAACAAUAUAUGUAAACUAAAUAAGUUUUUCUCAAUGUAAGCCCUCUUUCCUCUUUCAGGUGGUGCAGUCUCUGGCUGCUAACUGGGUUGUAAUCCCUGUUCCUGAAUAAAUGUUUAUUUGCCUCUA
rnacentral:lncRNA from 1 species